ACUUUAGAGCGUUUUGUGUGGCAGGG
rnacentral:piRNA from 1 species